rnacentral:rRNA from 1 species
UACGGAGGGUGCAAGCGUUAUCCGGAUUUACUGGGUUUAAAGGGUGUGUAGGCGGACUUUUAAGUCAGCGGUGAAAUCUCCGGGCUCAACCCGGAAACUGCCAUUGAUACUAUUGGUCUUGAAUGUUGUUGAGGUGGGCGGAACGGGUCAUGUAGCGGUGAAAUGCAUAGAUAUGACCCGGAACACCGAUUGCGUAGGCAGCCCACUAAGCAACGAUUGACGCUGAGGCACGAAAGCGUGGGGAGCAAACAGG